rnacentral:rRNA from 1 species
CAACUUUUAACAACGGAUCUCUAGGCUCUCGCAUCGAUGAAGAACGUAGCAAAUUGCGAUAACUAUUGUGAAUUGCAUCUCGUGAAUCAUCAAGUUUUUGAACGCAUCUUGCACUCUUUGGUAUUCCAAAGAGUACACUUGUUUCA